rnacentral:rRNA from 1 species
UACAGAGGUGGCAAGCGUUGUUCGGAAUUACUGGGCGUAAAGGGCGCGUAGGCGGUCUUGUAAGUCUUGUGUGAAAUCCCUCGGCUCAACUGAGGAACUGCACGGGAUACUGCGAGACUUGAGUUCGGGAGAGGGAAGCGGAAUUCCUGGUGUAGCGGUGAAAUGCGCAGAUAUCAGGAGGAACACCGGUGGUGAAGGCGGGUCUCUGGGCAACAACUGACGCUGAGGAGCGAAAGCGUGGGGAGCGAACAGG